AACGCUGGCGGCGUGCUUAACACAUGCAAGUCGAACGAGGCUGGGGGGGCAACUCUCCAGUCGAGUGGCGGACGGGUGAGUAACACGUGGGUAACCUGCCCGGAAGUGGGGAAUACCUCGGGGAAACUCGAGCUAAUACCGCAUGACAUCUUCGGGACGAAAGUCCUGACGAUCAAAGCGGGGUCGCAAGAUCUCGCGCUACCGGAUGGGCCCGCGCCCGAUUAGCUAGUUGGCGAGGUAACGGCUCACCAAGGCUUCGAUCGGUAACCGGCCUGAGAGGGCGAUCGGUCACACCGGAACUGAGACACGGUCCGGACUCCUACGGGAGGCAGCAGUGGGGAAUCUUGCGCAAUGGGCGAAAGCCUGACGCAGCAACGCCGCGUGGAGGAUGAAGGCCCUUGGGUUGUAAACUCCUGUCGGUUGGGAAGAAAUCUUGCGGGGCUCAUACCUCCGCAAGUUGACUGUACCAGCAAAGGAAGCCCCGGCUAACUCUGUGCCAGCAGCCGCGGUAAUACAGAGGGGGCCAGCGUUAUUCGGAAUUAUUGGGCGUAAAGGGCGCGUAGGCGGCCUUGCGUGUCUUUCGUGAAAUCCCUCGGCUUAACUGAGGACGUGCGGAAGAAACUGCAGGGCUCGAGUCCGGGAGAGGGGGGUGGAAUUCCCAGUGUAGCGGUGAAAUGCGUAGAUAUUGGGAGGAACACCGGUGGUGAAGGCGGCCCCCUGGACCGGUACUGACGCUGAGGCGCGAAAGCGUGGGUAGCAAACGGGAUUAGAUACCCCGGUAGUCCACGCCGUAAACGAUGGGCACUUGGUGUCGCGGGUAUCGACCCCUGCGGUGCCGAAGCUAACGCAUUAAGUGCCCCGCCUGGGGAGUACGGGUCGCAAGGCUGAAACU
rnacentral:rRNA from 1 species